UGCUCCUGCUUCUGUGCCUUCCCCAUAGUGAACAUCUAGCUGCCUGGCCCUAAGAGCUGAUGCAGUCCAGCACUUCAGUUGCCAAUGCUCAUCACAGAUGCUGCCUUUGUGCUUAAUACAGACACCAGCAAGGAGGAGCGCAGGCAUCACCUACCUGCAAGAGUCACUGCAGCCCCGCUGAGCACAGCUGGACUUGGAGGCUCAGUACACAGCAGCCAGUGCUUGUCUCAUUAUGUUCUCCAUCUUCCAUACGAUUCCUGCACCUAGGGGUGAAGAUAAAUUUUAAAAGAGCAAUUUAUUAUUAGCCUUUGAAACCAAACCCCGGC
rnacentral:lncRNA from 1 species